rnacentral:rRNA from 1 species
AGCAGCCGCGGUAAUUCCAGCUCCAAUAGCGUAUAUUAAAGUUGUUGCAGUUAAAAAGCUCGUAGUUGAAUUUCGAGAUCAAUUUGUGGGUCGUGCCUCGGUACGUACUGGCAUUAUCGAUUUCUCCCUUCUGAAGAACCGCGAUGUCAUUAAUUUGGUGUCGUGGGGAAUCAGGACUGUUACUUUGAAAAAUUAGAGUGUUUAAAGCAGGCUUACGCUUGAAUACAUUAGCAUGGAAUAAUGAAAUAGGACGUUUGAUUCUAUUUUGUUGGUUUCUAGGAUCGACGUAGUGAUUAAUAGGGAUAGUUGGGGGCA